rnacentral:tRNA from 1 species
GAAGAGGUGGUGCAGUGGGUAGCACUUUUAACUUACAGCAAGAAAGUUCUGGGUUCGAAUCCUUGGCCUUUCG